rnacentral:rRNA from 1 species
GACGAACGCUGGCGGCGUGCCUAAUACAUGCAAGUCGAACGAAGCUGUUUUAACUGGUGCUUGCACCGACUUAAACAACUGAGUGGCGAACGGGUGAGUAACACGUGGGUAACCUGCCCCAAAGCGGGGGAUAACAUUUGGAAACAGAUGCUAAUACCGCAUAACCACAGAAACCACAUGGUCUCUGUGUCAAAGAUGGUUUCGGCUAUCACUUUGGGAUGGACCCGCGGCGUAUUAGCUAGUUGGUAAGGUAAUGGCUUACCAAGGCAAUGAUACGUAGCCGAACUGAGAGGUUGAUCGGCCACAUUGGGACUGAGACACGGCCCAAACUCCUACGGGAGGCAGCAGUAGGGAAUCUUCCACAAUGGACGAAAGUCUGAUGGAGCAACGCCGCAUGAGUGAAGAAGGUUUUCGGAUCGUAAAACUCUGUUGUCAGAGAAGAACGUGUGCGAGAGUAACUGCUCGUGCAGUGACGGUAUCUGGCCAGAAAGCCACGGCUGACUACGUGCCAGCCGCCGCAGUAA